rnacentral:sRNA from 1 species
ACCCGCUGAACUUAAGCAUAUCAAUAAGCGGAGGAAAAGAAACCAACAGGGAUUGCCUCAGUAACGGCGAGUGAAGCGGCAACAGCUCAAAUUUGAAAUCUGGUCCCCUCUGGGGGCCCGAGUUGUAAUUUGAAGAGGAUGCUUUUGGCGAGGCGCCGUCCGAGUUCCCUGGAACGGGACGCCGCAGAGGGUGAGAGCCCCGUACGGUCGGACGCCGAGCCUCUGUAAAGCUCCUUCGACGAGUCGAGUAGUUUGGGAAUGCUGCUCAAAAUGGGAGGUAAACCCCUUCUAAAGCUAAAUACCGGCCAGAGACCGAUAGCGCACAAGUAGAGUGAUCGAAAGAUGAAAAGCACUUUGAAAAGAGAGUUAAAAAGCACGUGAAAUUGUUAAAAGGGAAGCGCUUGCGACCAGACUUGCGCCCGUCGGAUCAACCGUCGCUUGCGGCGGCGCACUCCGGCGGGCUCAGGCCAGCAUCAGUUCGCUCGGGGGGAGAAAGGCGGCGGGAAUGUAGCUCCUCGGAGUGUUAUAGCCCGCCGUGUAAUACCCUCGGGUGGACUGAGGACCGCGCGUAUGCAAGGAUGCUGGCGUAAUGGUCGUCAGCGACCCGUCUUGAAACACGGACCAAGGAGUCGUCCUAAUAUGCGAGUGUACGGGUGUCAAACCCCUGCGCGUAAUGAAAGUGAACGGAGGUGAGAGCUUCGGCGCAUCAUCGACCGAUCCUGAUGUUAUCGGAUGGAUUUGAGUAAGAGCAUAUUGGGCCGGACCCGAAAGAAGGUGAACUAUGCCUGUGUAGGGUAAAGCCAGAGGAAACUCUGGUGGAGGCUCGCAGCGGUUCUGACGUGCAAAUCGAUCGUCAAACAUGGGCAUGGGGGCGAAAGACUAAUCGAACCUUCUAGUAGCUGGUUUCCGCCGAGUUYYCCC